rnacentral:rRNA from 1 species
UUGAACGCUGGCGGCAUGCUUUACACAUGCAAGUCGAACGGCAGCAGGGGCUUCGGCCUGCUGGCGAGUGGCGAACGGGUGAGUAAUGCAUCGGAACGUACCCAGUCGUGGGGGAUAACGACGCGAAAGCUUAGCUAAUACCGCAUACGCCCUGAGGGGGAAAGCGGGGGACCUUCGGGCCUCGCGCGCUUGGAGCGGCCGAUGUCGGAUUAGCUAGUUGGUGGGGUAAAGGCCUACCAAGGCGACGAUCCGUAGCUGGUCUGAGAGGAUGAUCAGCCACACUGGGACUGAGACACGGCCCAGACUCCUACGGGAGGCAGCAGUGGGGAAUUUUGGACAAUGGGCGCAAGCCUGAUCCAGCCAUGCCGCGUGAGUGAAGAAGGCCUUCGGGUUGUAAAGCUCUUUCAGACGGAAAGAAAUCGCGCCCGUGAAUAGCGGGCGUGGAUGACGGUACUGUAAGAAGAAGCACCGGCUAACUACGU